UUGGAGGGCAAGUCUGGUGCCAGCAGCCGCGGUAAUUCCAGCUCCAAUAGCGUAUAUUAAAGUUGUUGCAGUUAAAAAGCUCGUAGUUGAAUUUCGGGAUUAGUACGUUGGUCGUGCCUUCGGUACGUACUGGUGUUACUGAUUCCUACCUUCUGACGAACCAUCAUGUCAUUAAUUUGGUGUGGCGGGGAAUCAGGACUGUUACUUUGAAAAAAUUAGAGUGUUUAAAGCAGGCUCGCGCUUGAAUACAUUAGCAUGGAAUAAUGAAAUAGGACGUUGAUCCUAUUUUGUUGGUUUCUAGGAUUGACGUAAUGAUUAAUAGGGAUAGUUGGGGGCAUUAGUAUUCAAUUGUCAGAGGUGAAAUUCUUGGAUUUAUUGAAGACUAACUACUGCGAAAGCAUUUGCCAAGGAUGUUUUCAUUAAUCAAGAACGAAAGUUAGGGAAUCGAAGACGAUCAGAUACCGUCGUAGUCUUAACCAUAAACUAUGCCGACUAGGGAUCGGAUGAUGUUAUUUUUAAUGACUCAUUCGGCGCCUUACGGGAAAC
rnacentral:rRNA from 1 species